AGUAGGUGUGAAAAUGCGUUGACUUUUACUAAAAAAUGAAAUAACUCUAUUACUAUGGAACGGACGGAAAUGGAAAAACGCUCAUAUUACUAUGGAACGGAGGAGUAUGAAAUUUUGUGCAGUACUGUUUCAUUGAAGAGAGGGAUUAUACAGUGUGAUAUUUUAAUUUUAGGAAAGAGUCAAUUUAAAUAGGACAUCCUAAAAAAAUAGUUGGACAUCCUAAAAAAAUAGUCACGUGGGAGGAUUAUGGAGUCUAGUUUUAUUUUGUAGCCAGCUUUUGUCCAUGUAGUAGUAGGAGUAUUAAUGCUUUUAGCAUUAAUAUUUAGUACUUCUUCUAUCCAAAUAAAUUAUCUCAUUUAUAAAUGAUACAGUUCUAAUGAAAAUUUAAACUAGGAAAAAUAUGGAAAAGUAAAUAAAAAAAUAAGAGAAAGUAAGAGAAAAAUAGAAAAAGUGGAUAAUUAUAAAAUGGAGUUUGUAUUUUUGAAAUGAGACUAUUUUCCGUUGACAUUCCUAAAAUAAUAAAAUGAGAUUAUUUUUGUUGACGGAUACUAAUCGAGACAAGUAUAGUAAAUACCAAUUGUAUAUUCAUUUUCUUUGUUCGAAAAUCAAUAAAUAAUACACCCGUCCACAAAAAUAGCCUAAUUUUGCUAUUUUUGGAAUAUUAGAAAAAAGAUUUAUUUAAAAAAUAUAGUAAACUUUAUCUCUUAUUUAUUCACUUUUUUUUUCUUUCUUUCUUACUUUUUCUCAUAUCACUCAUAUUUUAUCCAUUUUCCCUUCACUUCUCUCUUCUUUUAUUAACUUAUCAUUAAAUUCAUUUGGUUUCCAGAUACUCCUAGUUAAUCAACUUUUUAAUCAACGACGAUAUGAUCGAUGCAAUAAAUAAAAGUUACUGGAGUCUGUCAGACCACAGCGUGACAGGCCGGUCACUAGGGCGUGCGUUUUAUUGCGGAUGCUCUAAGAAGGUUGGGGAGAGGGUGACGGUCGUGAACUGUCAUGCCACUCAAUCUAACCCGUGAUGUUUGGCCAAUCACGUGGCGUGUGCGAUGUUGGAAUUGUGUUUUACAAAAAUCAGUUUUUUAAUUUUUUAUUUAUUUUGUUAUCAUUUUUAGACCAUACAUUUUAUUUUUUGCUAUUUGUGUUAGCAGUUGCGGAUGACUUUUCUUAAUUUUCAAUUCUUAAAAUAAAUGAUUGUUUUAUUUA